GAUGAACGCUAGCGGCAGGCUUAACACAUGCAAGUCGAGGGGCAUCGCGGGGUAGCAAUACUCUGGCGGCGACCGGCGAAAGGGUGAGUAACGCGUGAGCAACAUACCCGGCACUGGGGGAUAGUCAUUGGAAACGAUGCGUAAUACCCCGUAACACAAGGAGCGGCAUCGCUUUUUGUUAAGAGAUUUAUCGAUGUCGGAUUGGCUCGCGUACCAUUAGCUAGUUGGCGGGGUAACGGCCCACCAAGGCGACGAUGGUUAGGGGUUCUGAGAGGAAGGUCCCCCACAUUGGAACUGAGACACGGUCCAGACUCC
rnacentral:rRNA from 1 species